ACUGGAGGCAGGGUCCCUGGUGCGGAGGUGGCGGCUGCGCUGGUUUGUGUGUGGGGAUUGGCAGUUUCUGGAUCCUUCCUCCAGGAUUUUCAGCGCUGUGGAGCUCUCCUUUCUGCAGUGUGGAGGAGCGCUGGGCAGGAGGCGGCGCCGAGUUUGGUGGCAGCAGUGGGAUCCAAAGGAGACAUCUGAUGGCUCAGGGGAUGAGAAACACAGGCAUUGGUACCUGCAAAACCUUUGAGUUCUCCAUCUUUGUCACUGAUUCUGAGAGCCAUGGAGUCAGCUCCAGAGUUUCAGCCAGCAGCAGAAGCAGAGCUGUGGGCAGUGGUGGAGGUAGAGCUGGCUCCAGCUCCGUUGACACCACCCCCUCUAGCACUGGAGCCAGUGUCCCCUCUACCAGCAGUGUUGGAGGUGGAGCAAGGGCCAACAUGGGCUCCAGCAGGAGUGGGAGCUGCUGAGUUGGAGUCACCUGGACCAUCAUUUCUAGUGGGAAGUCCAUCUCCACCUGUGGCUAAGAAGCGUGAGAAGAAGCCCAACCUACGGCCUUCCCUCCUAAGCUGGUGGUGGAGCAGUUGAUCGUGAUGGAUGCAAGCGUAGAGGUGGACACUAACAGGACCUGCUGCACAGAGUGGCUGUGCCGGCUCCUUGAAGAGAAGGAAGGGUGAGCAGGGCCUGGCACAUCAGUAGUGGAGGGGAACUCACUGUAUGCAGCCAGGUCCCUGGUGGCCCAACCGUCUGCUCAGGAAGCUCAACAGCCUCAGGACUUAUUAGACACCUGAUGUGUACUCCACUACAAGGGAGACAGACAACGCCCGUGGUUGUAGCUGCCAGGGGAGAAUGUG